rnacentral:rRNA from 1 species
CCAUACCACCCUGAAAGCGCCCGAUCUUGUCUGAUCUCAGAAGCUAAGCAGGGUCGGGCCUGGUUAGUACUUGGAUGGGAGGAAUGAACUUACAAAACUUCUUAAUUUAUAUGAAGGAGUAAUUUAGGAG